UUUGCAAUUCAUUCAUAAGAAAGACAUACAAGCAUUGCCUACUUUCGCCAAAUCCACUUACAACAAUAGAGACAUGGUUCACCAAACACAAUAAAUCAAGCUCACGAAAUUCCAACAUUAUCCUCGAAAUUCAGAAUUACAUCAGAUUACAGACAUCCAACUUCACUGUUCUUCCUUUUUAAAAUUUUCUUAGGCCUGGGUAAAGGCAUUGCCCUCAGCUUUUUCCUUUG
rnacentral:misc_RNA from 1 species